AAUAGCUACUGUAUAGUCUGUGUCGGCAGUGCGCAUAUUUCGUAAUAAAUCUCUGCGCGGUUAAAAUCUGGAGUUCAUUUCCAUCAACCCCGAGGCUGCGCUAUAUACCUAUAGAGAGAGAACUAUUUUAAUUCAGUUUGUACGUCUGGAUGUAUUAAAACAAUUUAUUAUUUCGCUCACUGCGGGUACAGUUCAUAUCAAAUGCACUACAACAGACGCUUAAAAUUCUAACCUAUGAACCUAUAUUUAUUUCGCCUGUAAUUUUUGCAUCAACGUUUAUUGGCCUUCUACGCGUAUUUACAUUCGGUCGUGAUAGAAUCAUUAAUAUAUUGGUAUAGCUGACAUAAUAAAAUAUGCAUAGAUAUUAUACUAGAUUUCCGAUGGAUUUCACCGGUUACGUAUAGAAUGUUGUCACAGACCGUUUUGUACGGUAGUAUUUUUGCCGUAAAGUCAAUAGUUCUAUUAAUAAUAAUUUGGGGGAAAAAACCUAACAUAACCUCACAUA